rnacentral:lncRNA from 1 species
AAGAUAUAUUGAAAAUCAACUAUCACGCUUGAAUUCCUGUCGAUCGAGUUUAUUUAGUUUAAAAAGAUCAUUCAACCCUAAUGCAAUCAAACAGAAUUAGGUCCACCAGAAAGAAGCAAGACCACGAAGUCAUUUUCGGGCUCGAAUAUUAUGUAGUACAUCAUUUAAAACUUUAAUUAUAAAAGUCUAGACAUUUACGCGUUGAGUUGGUGAUACAAGGUGAAACAAAAUGAUUUUAUACCAGGCUAGAAACAUCAAAGAUCUAAAGCUACGAGUUUAGGCAUAUCAAAAAGCUCGUGGUUCUUCCAAGCCCCAAUCAGCAAGGUUGGAAAUGAGAUGGGGAAAAUAAGACGCAGCUGGAUCUAGUAGGAAGUGUUUCAGGUGUGGAGACUCUUCACAUAUAAAGAGAGAUUGUCCGGUGAGGCAGAAAUGUUUUAGAUGUGAUCAGCCAGGACACCGAGCAGCACAGUGUAAUGCGCAUGAAAAAGUGAAGACAGAAGAACGUAGUUCAGUACAAAAAAGUCGUUUCAAAACCAUCACCCCAAUUUUCUUCGCAUUUCGAACAGAAUUUGGUGAUUUGCAUGAAUACUGUUUUUAAAGGACUUGUGGAUACAUGGGCUGACUUGUGUUUGAUGCCUGGGAGUGUGUUUUUAAAAUAGGCGUAGGCGUCUCCUUUAGAAAGGAAAGAUACAAUUUAAAAUUUUUCUAAAGUAAGGUAAUGGUAAAUGUUAAAUACAAUUUUUUCAAGGGAUAUUUUGGGGGAUACUAAAUGUAACAAGUAAUAAUAAUUCUUGCAUAUUUAUAGUAAUGUAGUUCAUGCUGUGCGUAAAUAUAUCUAUGUAGGAAACUGUAGAGAAUGUAGAGAACUGAAAAAUCGAUUUGUCCCAAAAGAGUUUGGCAAUCCAAAAUCCCGCGAAUACCCGCGGCCUUAUGCAUGAACACCACCCCAUUGCAAAUUCUGCGAUGGUGUAAAGCGGGUAGCUCCAGUAGUUUUAGGCUAGAUAGGUAUGGUGGAAGGAGUCUUUCAGAGUCGCAGUUCAGAUUACUAAGGGCGAAUAUUAUAAAUUGUUUUUGAGCGGAUUCAAUAUGAAUUUGUUGCGCCUUGGAUUAUGAACUCUACACACAAGAACAAUACUCCAAUAUCCAAUACUCCAAGCUAUAUACGUGUUGAUACACGUGAUACUACACGAGAGUCGAUACAUUACUUCUACAAUUUUACAUCCAUACAUACACAAACAGAUACCAUUUAACACCUGCGCCGUUUCGAGUGCAUAAUAAACCUCCAUAAUAUCAUAUAUACUGUGCCUCUUCAUUUCUGGACGCUUGGGUUUUCCGAGGAUUUAUCUGCAGCGACAGGAAGCCGCCCUCCUACAAACAAUACGGAUCGUCGAACUCUUUUACCCAACGCUUAAUAAACGCAAGCUUAGUUAAGCAUUGGAGAUUCGAUUCAGAACUAGGUGUCCUCGAAAAUAGGAAACAAAAUGUGGUGCACGGCGGGUAAAGUCAUAUGUUUGCACUUAGAAUGGUUCAAGAAAAGUAGGUUAUUUGAACACCAAAUGUUCAAUUCAUCCAGGUCAAGUUGUAGGCGAGUAUGCAAGUACCAGUCGGAAAAGGAAAAAAUAAAUUUUAACGCCAUCAGCAUACAUUAAAGUAACUGAGUGCAAAAUAACUUGGGGCAGAUCGUUUACAAACAAAUUUACCAGAAGCGGACCUAAAUGACUUCCUUGAGGAAAUCCAGAGAUUACUUUCACAACAUUCGACAAGACAUUGUUGAACAAAACACGCUGUGUGCGAUUCGACAGGUACGAUGAUAUCCAAUUUACAAGAUUUGUGGGUAAACAUAAUAAACAGAGUUUAUGGAUCAGCAAAGUAUGAUUAACAGAGUCAAAAGCUUUACUGGUCUUUAAAAAUUACGUCAGUCUGCAAGCCACUUUAAAAACCUCGGUUGAUUAGAGACAAGAAUUCUUAAAGGUUAGUAGAUGUUGAUCGAUGUCUAAAAAAACCAUGUUUGCGACGGGGAUAUUAUGCUAAAACAUGCGUGUUGCAAUUGACAAGUAACAAGGCGCACGAGCAGCUUCGGAAUGGCAGAUAGUUAAGCAAUACCACGGUAUUUUUCGAUAUUAGAUCUGGACCCUUUUAUGUGUAGAUGAAUACGGAAGGACUCAUUCCAGAUCAUGGGGAGGAGAGAAAGCUCCAGGGAUAAAUUAAAUAAGAAGGUCAAAGGACCCGCAGAGAAACAGAUGUCAAUUGAUGACAACCCUUCGAAGACUGUACUUUCUUCAAGGAAGGGAAGAAAUACGUUAUUAACAUAAGGUAGAUGGUAUAAAUAAGGGGUGGAGAAGUCAUAGGUUUUCGAGGAGUACGUCGAUUGAAAAAAAGGAGGCAAAUAAAUUUGCAUUACCUUGAGCUGAAGUUUCUGUUUUAUCCUGUAAAUGAAGGGAAGAAGAGAACGUGUAGAUUUACGUUUUGAGUUGACGAACGAAAAGAAUUUUUUGGGAUCAUUACGGAAAUUUGUUCCACAUUGGGAAGGAUAUAGGUUAUACAUUUUAUUAUUGACCGUACGAAAUUGAGAGCGAACCGAAGAAUAUUUUGUAGCGUGCAGGUGUGGGAUAUAUGUAUUUUACCAACACUAGUACAACGAGAUUUUGUGUGCACAUCUCGCCGGAUUGUCGUUCUACUCUCUCCUAUGUUUUGUACUGACACACAUUUGCACAAUGUUUUAGGUGCACAUAUCAAAAGAAUCAAAAAUGAAAAAAACACAGGUUGAACUGGACUGAGUGUAUGGAAAGUGGAUUAAUAAUUUGUUGUUGAGGAAGGGGGAUAAUUAUAUCAACUAGUCUAUUCGAAUCACGGGAAACUCAGGUGGCGUCGAGUAUCCCUCUUCUCUACCCUCCCAACCUAUGCUGUAUCGGUAAAUAGAACCGUAUAGACCCUAAAACAAUCAUGCAGUCUUCAUCCUACCACUUUGAUCCUGACGGACGUCAGAAUUCAGAACGUAUUAGAAAUGUGUUUCAAAAUAGAUGCUUUUAAAUAUACUUCCAUGAUUUUACAUCAGUAUAGUUCAAUAUUUUCCAAGUUUUCUUAACCUACAAAAAAAAUCAAAGAAUUUACGAAUAAAUGUAAAUAUAUGGUGGCGGU